UACGGGGGGGGCUAGCGUUGUUCGGAAUUACUGGGCGUAAAGGGCGCGUAGGCGGUCUGCUAAGUUGGAUGUGAAAACUCUGGGCUUAACCCAGAGCCUGCAUUCAAUACUGACAGGCUAGAGUUCUGGAGGGGAUAGCGGAAUUCCUGGUGUAGCGGUGAAAUGCGUAGAUAUCAGGAGGAACACCGGUGGCGAAGGCGGCUCACUGGCCCGUUACCGACGCUCAGGCGCGAUAGCGUGGGGAGCAAACAGG
rnacentral:rRNA from 1 species